AUUGAACGCUGGCGGCAGGCCUAACACAUGCAAGUCGAGCGGAACGGCGGACGGGUGGGUGAUGCCUAGGAAUCUGCCUGGUAGUGGGGGAUAACGUCCGGCAACGGGCGCUAAUACCGCCUACUAGCAGUUGAGCCUGGGUCGGAUUGGCUAGGUGGUGGGGUAAAGGCCUACCAAGGCGACGAUCCGUAACUGGUCUGAGAGGAGGAUCAGUCACACUGGAACUGAGACACGGUCCAGACUCCUACGGGAGGCAGCAGUGGGGAAUAUUGGACAAUGGGCGAAAGCCUGAUCCAGCCAUGCCGCGUGUGUGAAGAAGGUCUUCGGAUUGUAAAGCACUUUAAGCUGGGAGGCGUUACCAACAGAAGAAGCACCGGCUAACUUCGUGCCAGCCGCCGCGGUAAUAC
rnacentral:rRNA from 1 species